rnacentral:rRNA from 1 species
UGGGGCAUAUUGGACAAUGGGCGCAAGCCUGAUCCAGCCAUGCCGCGUGAGUGAUGAAGGCCCUAGGGUUGUAAAGCUCUUUCACCGGUGAAGAUAAUGACGGUAACCGGAGAAGAAGCCCCGGCUAACUUCGUGCCAGCAGCCGCGGUAAUACGAAGGGGGCUAGCGUUGUUCGGAUUUACUGGGCGUAAAGCGCACGUAGGCGGACUUUUAAGUCAGGGGUGAAAUCCCGGGGCUCAACCCCGGAACUGCCUUUGAUACUGGAAGUCUUGGGUAUGGUAGUGGUGAGUGGAAUUCCGAGUGUAGAGGUGAAAUUCGUAGAUAUUCGGAGGAACACCAGUGGCGAAGGCGGCUCACUGAACCAUUACUGACGCUGAGGUGCGAAUGCGUGGGGAGCAAACA